GGGGAUGAAAGGAUUUCGACGGGGAUAUUGAACCGUGAUAAGCGAGCAGCGGUGUGGUACCGCUUUAAACAGCCACAGUUUAUGAAAAUAAACGACAAAGAUCAAAAAGUACUUCUUGCUGCUUAAUUAGCGGCGAGCGUUCCCCUCAGAGUACCGCGGCUGAGUACGGAGCGUCAUCAGCGGUAAAUGUGCACGGGCACACUGCCUUGUAACCCGUCACACAAAACAGGGCUACCGAAACGAAAAGCCUGCCGUGCGGCGUUUCGCAACGGGAAUUUUAAAGAAACGGCUACGCUCGUAGAAAUUUGCGGGAAUGUGUUUUCGGACGCGGUUUCGAUUACCGCCAUCUCCACCA
rnacentral:tmRNA from 1 species